UACAUUGCAGCUUAGCUAAGAACUACUCUUAUUAUCUGUUUUCUUUCUUUUAUAGGGUGUUUUGCCAGGCCAUAAACAACAAGGGCCAGAGUGGAGCUAAUUUGAGGACUACUACCUGAAGAAAAGGCAAAGUUUCUGUGUAAGAAGCAGCGACAUGGUCACCAGCACCCCCGGAUUCCCACGCUCAUAGGACAGCGGCGGACUGGGAAUAAGGACGUUCCCUCCCAGCACCCAGCUACCAGCCCCAAGUCACCUGCCAGCCCCUGAGCCAAUCACACUGGUAAGGGAGAUGAAUGUUCUGAGGGGCCUGCUUGGUAUGUUCACCCU
rnacentral:lncRNA from 1 species